GCGGGCGUGGCGAAAUUGGCACACGCGCUAGACUUAGGAUCUAGUGGGCAACCUUGGAGGUUCGAGUCCUCUCGCCCGCACCA
rnacentral:tRNA from 1 species